rnacentral:rRNA from 1 species
GUUGUCCGACUCUGUUGCCUCCGGGGCGACCCUGCCUUCGGGCGGGGGCUCCGGGUGGACACUUCAAACUCUUGCGUAACUUUGCAGUCUGAGUAAACUUAAUUAAUAAAUUAAAACUUUUAACAACGGAUCUCUUGGUUCUGGCAUCGAUGAAGAACGCAGCGAAAUGCGAUAAGUAAUGUGAAUUGCAGAAUUCAGUGAAUCAUCGAAUCUUUGAACGCACAUUGCGCCCCCUGGUAUUCCGGGGGGCAUGCCUGUUCGAGCGUCAUUUCACCACUCAAGCCUCGCUUGGUAUUGGGCAACGCGGUCCGCCGCGUGCCUCAAAUCGACCGGCUGGGUCUUCUGUCCCCUAAGCGUUGUGGAAACUAUUCGCUAAAGGGUGUUCGGGAGGCUACGCCGUAAAACAACCCCAUUUCUAAGGUUGACCUCGGAUCAGGUAGGGAUACCCGC